rnacentral:lncRNA from 1 species
CAAUUAUCUCUCAGAAUGGGUGUUAUAAAGGAAAUGUAAUGGAUAAGGAUUUUUUUUCUACACUUUGCUUGAGCAUUUCUUUUUCUCUAGUGAUUAGUUUUGCUGCAUCUGUGUUUGCCUAAGAACCUGAAGCUAAAAUAAUUAGUAACAGGUGGCUGAGGUCUUACUGAUAAUCUGCCUGCCUUUUAGUUGUACUUCUAUAAAAGGCUUUCAGUUGUAUCCCCCACUCCCCUUCUGGUUCUUUUCCAUUUUUAACAAGCUGUAAUGAGAAAUUAUCUCUGUAUGGUACAUUCUUUGGGCUUGUUUGAUUCUAGGGGUGGUUUUAUUUUAACACUUUAAGUGUUAUGGUAGAUAUUUUACCCUUUAGUUAUAACAAACCAUGCUUCAUCUCUUCCUGUAAUAUAGGUGUUUUUGGGGUAAUUGUUUUCUAAGGGUAUUGCUGCAUCGCUGUCUUAUUCUGUUUUUACAUGCGUUCUUGCCUAAUUUUGCUCACAGAAAUUUUUGGUGGGCUUUCCUUUACUAGCUGUUCCCUGAAUUUUUCAGAUCCUUUUCUGCUGAGUAUGGAGGUCUUAAGCAGCAACAAUGAUGAAAACAAAAUCAAAGAAAAAAGAAGCCACCAAACACAGGAGAGCCUGACCAGGUACAAAGAGUGAGAAUGGAGAGGCAAGAAUGGUAAUAGGAUCUGGCAGAAAUGGAGUUUCUUAGAGAAGAUCAGGAGAGAAAACUGAGGGCCAUAAAGUCGAAUGCUCAUAUUGCAUUUUCCAUAAGACACCUCU